rnacentral:rRNA from 1 species
UAGUCCACGCCGUAAACGAUGAUCACUCGCUGUCUGCGAUACACAGUAGGCGGCUGAGCGAAAGCAUUAAGUGAUCCACCUGGGGAGUACGAUCGCAAGGUUGAAACUCAAAGGAAUUGACGGGGGCCCGCACAAGCGGAGGAACAUGUGGUUUAAUUCGAUGAUACGCGAGGAACCUUACCUGGGCUUAAAUGUAGAUUGCAUGAUGUAGAAAUACGUCUUUUCUUCGGAACUAUUUACAAGGUGCUGCAUGGUUGUCGUCAGCUCGUGCCGUGAGGUGUCGGGUUAAGUCCCAUAACGAGCGCAACCCUACCGUUAGUUGCCAUCAGGUCAUGCUGGGGACUCUAGCGGGACUGCCACCGUAAGGUGAGAGGAAGGUGGGGGAUGGACGUCAAAUCAGCACGGGCCCUUAUGGUCCAGGGGCUACACACGUGUUACAAUGGUCGGUACAAAGGGGCAGCUACCAGGCAACUGGGAUACCAAUCCCUAAAGCCGAUCCCAGUUCGGAUUGGGA